rnacentral:rRNA from 1 species
AACGUUUCGAAAGGAACGCUAAUACCGCAUACGUCCUACGGAGAAAGCAGGGACCUUCGGGCCUUGCGCUACCAGAUGAGCCUAGGUCGGAUUAGCUAGUUGGUGAGGUAAUGGCUCACCAAGGCGACGAUCCGUAACUGGUCUGAGAGGAUGAUCAGUCACACUGGAACUGAGACACGGUCCAGACUCCUACGGGAGGCAGCAGCC